rnacentral:rRNA from 1 species
AACGAACGCUGGCGGCAUGCCUAACACAUGCCAGUCGAACGAUUGCCUUCGGGUGAUAGUGGCGCACGGGUGCGUAACGCGUGGGAAUCUGCCCUUAGGUUCGGAAUAACAGCUGGAAACGGCUGCUAAUACCGGAUGAUAUCGCGAGAUCAAAGAUUUAUCGCCUGAGGAUGAGCCCGCGUUGGAUUAGGUAGUUGGUGGGGUAAAGGCCUACCAAGCCGACGAUCCAUAGCUGGUCUGAGAGGAUGAUCAGCCAAACUGGGACUGAGACACGGCCCAGACUCCUACGGGAGGAAGCAGUGGGGAAUAUUGGACAAUGGGCGCAAGCCUGAUCCAGCAAUGCCGCGUGAGUGAUGAAGGCCCUAGGGUUGUAAAGCUCUUUUACCCGGGAAGAUAAUGACUGUACCGGGAGAAUAAGCCCCGGCUAACUCCGUG